CGACCUGUAUAUGAUUUUCUAUUGUGAAAAAAUCUGUGUUUAUAUUUAGUGACACGAUGGUGGCCACUGCAUUCAUUUCGCUAGCAGAUAAAGGAUUUGCGACGAAUUCUUGCAAGUUUUUUAAGGUAAGCGGGUAAAUAUCAGUUUUUCAAUAAUUAUAUAGUUUUAUGUAUAUAUUUUAGAAUGUGGAACCAUUAUUUACUUCUCGUUGAAGAAUUGAGCUUCUAAUUCCAUACAACUGAGAACUUGAUGAAGUUCUGCUCGACGAUAUCUAUAGAUAUAGAUUUAUAUACCGACCAUGCUACAACAAAAAUCCCUUUUGUUCAAGUUCCAGUAGUUACUGUGAGAUGGCUUUGCAGGUAGUGGAUCCAAAUAC